rnacentral:rRNA from 1 species
CCUACGGGAGGCAGCAGUGAGGAAUAUUGGUCAAUGGGCGCUAGCCUGAACCAGCCAAGUAGCGUGAAGGAUGACGGCCCUACGGGUUGUAAACUUCUUUUAUACGGGAAUAACGCGCCUUAUGUGUACUGCUUUGCAUGUACCGUAUGAAUAAGGACCGGCUAACUCCGUGCCAGCAGCCGCGGUAAUACGGAGGGUCCGGGCGUUAUCCGGAUUUAUUGGGUUUAAAGGGAGCGUAGGCGGGUUGUCAAGCGUGCUGUGAAAUGUUCGGGCUCAACCCUGACCUUGCAGUUGAUACUGGCGUGCUUGAGUACGGUAGAGGCAGGCGGAAUUCGUGGUGUAGCGGUGAAAUGCUUAGAUAUGACGAAGAACCCCGAUUGCGAAGGCAGCUUGCUGGAGUGUAACUGACGCUGAUGCUCGAAAGCGCGGGUAUCGAACAGGAUUAGAUACCCUAGUAGUC